UACGGGGGGGAGCAAGCGUUGUUCGGAUUUACUGGGCGUAAAGGGCGCGUAGGCGGCCACCGCAAGUCGACUGUGAAAUCUCCGAGCUUAACUCGGAAAGGUCAACUGAUACUGCGGGGGCUAGAGUGCGGAAGGGGCAACUGGAAUUCUUGGUGUAGCGGUGAAAUGCGUAGAUAUCAAGUGGAACACCGUGGCGGAAGGCGGAUGUCUCGCGGACAUUCCUGACGCUGAGGCACGAAAGC
rnacentral:rRNA from 1 species